CCGCCACGUCCAGGGCAUCAUCGACCGCGACACCUCCUCCACCACCGCCGGAGCCGGAGGCCACCGCCACCUUCACCUGUGCUUCAGGGCUUGAAAAGUUCAAACCCUACGUAGCUGAGGCUUUUGUAAAAGCUUCGGAAUCUGAAAACAUACUUGUAGUUCGUUCAAUCAAAGAGACUUCGUUGUACAGGAAAACAGCAUAAUACAUGCUAUCAAGGCAUCAAUGGCAUACAUUUCAGGCAUUCUCUACAAAGCCAGGAUCGAAAGAAUUGCAACAAUAACAAACGAAGAGAUGGGGUAGAUAAUGAACAAAGAAUUACAUCAGGGGAUCGCAGGAUUUAGUUAUGUCUCACGUUUGCGCUGCGGAUGGU